CAUUCUGCAGUCGUGACCCUUUCUUCUGCUUUAACUGCUGCAGUUCUCCUCAUCAUCAUAGUUUCAAUUAUUGGAGGAUUUAUCUGCAAAAAACAUCCAGAGAGCUCCUGUUUAAGAUCUGAAACAUCUGGAUCAGCUGUACAUGGAUCUGCUGCCACUUCAGAUGAAGAUAACUCAGAUGAACUGUACAAAAGCCUUCAGCAGCCGACAAGCGAUCUCUACCAAACUCUCUCCUCACUAUAAGCAUGAAACUGAAGCAAACUCAGCCAGCAACAAAGGAAAUUUUAACUUGGACAAUAUGGAAGUUUAUGGAAAACAUAAAAUUUAUGAAAACAUUUGAAGCUUUUUAUUUUGAAAAAUCUUUUGAGCUGAAUAAAGUUGGAUAAACAUUAGGCUGAAUUUCCUUGUGAUGUUUUACUGAGCAAGAUUAGCCAUAAGUUAUGUUAUUCAGUAUUUAAUAGUAACAUGUCAUAAUUUUGUCUAAAAAUUGGUAAAUGUACUUGUUUGUCUUGACAGAAUCUGUAACAUUCUUACAAUACAUCAUGUUAUCCAUUGUACUAUAAAUAGAAGAUUUAUAUAUUUCAUUGGUGGCGUCUUUGCAAAGCUGUUCCGUUCCUGUAAAGGUCCGCCUCAAUAUCAGACCACUGUUCUGUAACUUCAGGGCCUCUUCUAGAAUCAUAUAUUUAAUCUGUAACUGCCUCUGUUUAAGUUUUAAGUUAUUUCUAAGGACGCCUUGGACACCAGAAAUGAUAUGGCUCUAUAAGCAAUUCACAUGAUAGAUUACAGGCCUCUCAGUUCAAGCUGAUGGAUGAUAUCUUUAUAAAAUAUCAUUCUAAUCACAAAUUUGUCUGUGCAACUCAAAAACCUCUCCAGCAGCAAUCUGGAUGUUAGAAAUUAUGUUCCUCAAGGCUUAUAUAACAUUUUACAUUACUAAUGAGUCAAUGUUGAAGGUGAACGUUUC